GGGACACUGGGGACGCCAAGUCCGCAGCCGCCCGCGGGCCCGCACUCACCUGGGCCGCUCUCCGACACGGGCCCGCCGAUAGGUACCGGGCGAUAAGGAAGUACAGCUCUGCGGGAAGACAAGGAGUCAGGACAAGAGGGGGCGAUUCACCGCCGCCCCCCGUGGGACCUGGGUCCUCUACGCGGGACCGCAGGGGCCCCGAGUCGCGGGUUGGGCAAGGUCGCCCGCUCCGGGUCGCUCGGAAGGGUCAUUUCACGGACCGGUCGUCUGGGGCCAGUGCGUCUUGCCCCGCACGGAAGACCCCUCGCUUCGAGGACAGGAAAGCUUUUAAAGCAUCUGUUAAUUCAGCAAGCACUAACAAGUGAUGGAGAUUAAAAAAAAAAAAGGAAUGAGCCACAGCUUUGCCAUCAAAGACUUCAGCGUCUCUUAGGGGAAACAGAUGAACAAAGAUUUCUAACAAGAGAGAGAAUAUCUUCCCGAUUCGACUCCCAUAUGUCAAGAGACUCAGAUGUGACUCAUAUUUGCCUGCCAGGAGGAGGAAAAAGAAAUACACUGUCCAGGAGCAACUCCUUAGUGGGUACCCACCAGAAGUGGUCUCCAAACAAGGGUCUCGCUGAUCCCAAAGAUGAAGAGACAAAACCGGCCUUGCUUGCCCCCAAGGUGAGACUUCGGAUCUGUGGUGAGGGAGGGAAAAAUUCCAGCAGACCCAAGAGGAAGGCUACAGAAGAAAGGACAGAAGCGUGGAGAGAAAUUCUAAGCAGGAGGCUGGGGAAGAAGGAAGAGCUUCAGGUCACUGGGUCACCCCACCAGGAGAUAGUCCCCUUGUGGCCUUGAGACUUAUGCAAUGGGCAGAUGCAAUCUGGGUACCUAAGGCAAGGAUUGCCCUUAUUCUGGCCAUGACAUUUAACACCUAAUUGCAGCAAUAACCCCUCUUUUCCACCUGGAGAAAGCUUCCUGGCCCCUCUUUUUCACUUGUGGGUAAGUCUGGCCAAGAGCAGGGUGAAGAAACCCAUAGUCUAACACAGCUGUUCCAAGCUCUGAGGAUGAAGAAGUGGGAAGAGGAGACAAGUCCCUCCAAUCUAGUCGGGAAGGUGUAUUCUCACUGUUUCACCUCAGGCUGUUCUCAAGUGUGUCUGAUCCAUAAUAGGAACACAGUGUUCAUGCAUUCAUGCUGGUCU
rnacentral:lncRNA from 1 species